rnacentral:rRNA from 1 species
CCUACGGGUGGCAGCAGUGGGGAAUAUUGGGCAAUGGGCGCAAGACUGACCCAGCAAUGCCGCGUGAAGGAAGAAGGCUUUCGGGUUGUAAACUUCUUUUACAGGGGAAGAGCAGAAGACGGUACCCUGAAAACAAGCCACGGCUAACUACGUGCCAGCAGCCGCGGUAAUACGUAGGUGGCAAGCGUUGUACGGAUUUACUGGGUGUAAAGGGCGUGUAGCCGGGAAGGCAAGUCAGAUGUGAAAUCUGGAGGCUCAACCUCCAAAUUGCAUUUGAAACUGUUUUUCUUGAGUACUGGAGAGGCAGACGGAAUUCCUUGUGUAGCGGUGAAAUGCGUAGAUAUAAGGAGGAACACCAGUGGCGAAGGCGGUCUGCUGGACAGCAACUGACGGUGAGGCGCGAAAGCGUGGGGAGCAAACAGGAUUAGAUACCCUAGUAGUC